rnacentral:lncRNA from 1 species
CUCUGUUGGUUUUUCAUUCAUGUUCCUAUAGUAUCAAACAAUUUUGGUUAGUUUUUGCAUACUUUUAAGAUUCUGCUUGGAUUUAUUUAUCAAAAAAAGAAAGAUUCUGUUUAGAUUUUACUGAGUUGUUAGGGGUUUAAAGAAUAAACAGGACAAGCAAUUUAUCCUGUGAGUUCUAUAUAUUGAAUCAAGAGUUUGUUUCCAAAGAGAGAGAUAGAGAGAGAGAGUUAGAGUUGCAGCUUCAGUACUGCAUUGUGAAAAAUGUGUGUUAAUUUUCUUGUGCUAAUUUGUUGUCUUCUUCUUCACUGUUCUUCCAUAUGCGAACGUUUUUUCAGUUUGUUUUAGUGUCCUAUUUUAUCUAUUUGUUGUAUCUAUUCUUGCAUACAAUAGCUUGUUGUCUUUUGACUAUUUUUCUUUGGCUGGGUGUAAUUGAGGAGUUUUUGCUUAUUUAUUAUUGUGUGCCCCUUGUGAGAAUCUUAGGUCUGUUUCAUUUUGAAACCCUGUAAGUGUGUUAGGGAUUAGAUAGGUAGAAUUGUUGAAGGUGCAUAUUUCUUUUUCCCAGGGUAGGACUACUAUGGUUCAUGUUUGUUUGUAUCAUAUAUUCUGUCUUACCUAUCUUUGCUAAAGUUGACCAGAGUUUUCUUUUGUGGUUGAGAGGAGCAAUUAUGUGUUUGUCCUAGUAGGUGGGGGUUGUGUUGAGUAAUUUGGUCCUUAAGACUGUUGUUUUGGUAGGUAAGAACUAUGGACAUUUCAUUCGGAACCUCAUUCUUUUUUAUAUAAAGUUAUUCGAAGCAGGUUAGGUAUGCCACUGAGGUCGUGAACUUAUGUACA